rnacentral:rRNA from 1 species
UGGGGAAUUUUGGACAAUGGGCGAAAGCCUGAUCCAGCAAUGCCGCGUGUGUGAAGAAGGCCUUCGGGUUGUAAAGCACUUUUGUCCGGAAAGAAAUCCUUGGCUCUAAUACAGUCGGGGGAUGACGGUACCGGAAGAAUAAGCACCGGCUAACUACGUGCCAGCAGCCGCGGUAAUACGUAGGGUGCAAGCGUUAAUCGGAAUUACUGGGCGUAAAGCGUGCGCAGGCGGUUUGCUAAGACCGAUGUGAAAUCCCCGGGCUCAACCUGGGAACUGCAUUGGUGACUGGCAGGCUAGAGUAUGGCAGAGGGGGGUAGAAUUCCACGUGUAGCAGUGAAAUGCGUAGAGAUGUGGAGGAAUACCGAUGGCGAAGGCAGCCCCCUGGGCAAUACUGACGCUCAUGCACGAAAGCGUGGGGAGCAAACAGGAUUAGAUGCCCUGGUAGUCCACGCCCUAAACGAUGUCAACUAGUUGUUGGGGAUUCAUUUCCUUAGUAACGUAGCUAACGCGUGAAGUUGACCGCCUGGGGAGUACGGUCGCAAGAUUAAAACUCAAAUGAA